AGCAUCAUGAAGCUUAAAGCUGCAGGAGGUAACAAUUUAAAUAAUGGCAGAAUUUGAAGUAGAGUGAGACCUCUCUCUGCCGCUCCCCCUCUCCCUUCUCAUUCUAGUCCCUCCCAUCAGGCGA